UCCACAGCCCUGUUUCAUUUCAAUGUCCUAAUUAAAAUGUCAGCGAUACUAUUAAUCAAUCAGCACUUAGAUAACUUGUAGAGGAAAUGAGCCCAAAUUUAUGUACCAUUUUCAUUGUUUUGCUAGUAACACAUAAACCCACAAAUACACAUUACUAUAGUGAAAAUCAUGGAGAGAAUAAGACAACCUAUACAACCUCAGAGGAGAAAAUAUCCAUCUGACGAUCCAGAAAAGCAGAGAGAAAGAAAUCAAAAAAAAAAGAAACAACGGACUGAACUCAAACGAGGGAGAAUAGAAUAUUAUUACAAAGAUGAAGAUGACAAAAUAUCCUUACAGAACAAAAUGGACUCAAUUAAAUCAUAUAUGGGGGAGGGAAAUUAUAACAAAGUGUCAUCAUUUGAAUUACUUCACAGAGUCAUGGAUUAUUUCAUUUCAUCAUGUAUGCCAGGUGAAAAUAAUGGAGAUAAACAGAAUGAAGGCAGACCUGAGCCAUCUUCAUAUCAGUACAUCAACCAAGACAGUGCACAACAGGAAAAAUUGUGUGUAUGUGCAGAAUCUUCCAUCCAAAACCUGAUUGACUUAGUUCAAUCUCAUCAUGACAAAUGCAGAGAACCAAUUACCUUUACAUUUGAUAAUAUGUUGCAGCAUGUUUGUCAAGGAACUUUGAAAUGCGCAUGUGAGAAUAUUCCACAUGAAUUAACAUGGGUGUCAUCGCCACAUCUCAACAAUGGAAAAUUUCUAGCAAAUAUUUGACUCAGUCAUGGUUAUUUUUCAUGUGGAAUACUUCCGAACCAGUACCAAAAUUUUUGUGAUGCAGCUAAUUUUGGUGAACUUGGGGAAAAAUAUCUUAAAACUCUCCAGGAGGAAUACAGCAAUAUUGUAGAUGCGGAGGCCAAAAAAUCUAUUGAGGAAGCACUUUUGGAAGAAAUAGCAGCCACUGCAGCCACAGUAGAAACAGAGGAAGAAAUACAUGAUGGCAUUGGUAUUGUGACUGAUGCUAGGCACUGUUGGAGGAAAAAUGCUCGUUUUUCUGAUGUUGUAUGCCUGGGAGACAGAACACAUAAAGUACUAAGUAUUCAAACUAUUAGUAAAAUGGAUGACCCCUCAUCACAACGACAUGAGCUAAUUGGUGUUAAAAAGGUUUACGAGUACUUUGAUGACCAAGACUGCCCUAUCAAAUACCAUGCACAUGACAGGAAUAAUUCCGUAUCAAAUUUUUUUAAUGAAGAACGGAAACCUACAGAAAAUGCUUUGGAUACAUGGCAUAUGACAAAAAGUUUAGCAAAACAAGCCAAAAAAAUUACAAAAGGCAAAAACUUGGCAUCCAGAGCUGUCUGCAUACAUGCCAACUUUCCCGAUUUAGGCGGGAUCUUCCCGAUUUUACCCUCCGAUCCCGCUUUCCCGAUCGGGAAAGCAAAAUUACCCUAAAAUCCCGAUUUGAAAUUUUUUCCGACCAAAAUUUCUGAUUUCACGAUUGAACACGAGUUUGAAAGCGGGAUAAUUGUGAAAUCUCGUGACCAGAAUUGGAAAUCCCGCGUCAUUUCUGAACUGGCCAAUCAGAAAUCGGGACAAUAGUCAGCCAUUGCUGUUUACCUGUGUCGCAUGGUGUCGGGUUGGUCUGCCUGUGUCGGGGUGUUUAUUGGACAGUACGAAGCAUGUUUUGAUAGUAAUUAAUCGGGAAGACGGAUUUCAAAUUGACCUAUCCUUUACACAAACGUGAAUGACAACGAUGCUAGUGUCACCACCAAACAAUCGGACAUUCCGCCUCUCGCUGACAGCAUCCAAAAUUUGCAAUAAGAUGUCAUGGGUGCAAAGGUUUUGUUCGCAAACUUCAUAGCAGGGCAGAUCACUCCUUUUUUGGUUGCAAUGCAGAUUAUUCCACCAGUCUCUGCAAGCCCAUGUUUACAGACAAGCAAGAUCGCCUUUGCAGUCGUACCUAAAUGCAUGUGCUUUAAUUUAAAUUUUGAUAUAUAGACCGGCCAAUGUUUAUUGUAUGGUGUAAAAGGAUGCAACCUUAAAUAUUAUUUGAUAUUAUGUAUGUGACUUGUUGGAGAAGAUUUUUUGCUGAAUAGAUGAUUUUAAUAAAAUAUUAAUGUAUA